GGUGACAGAAUGGUUAAGAGCUUGGCUGCUAACCAAAAGGUUGGUGGUUCGAAUCCACCAGCCA
rnacentral:tRNA from 1 species